UACAGAGGUCUCAAGCGUUGUUCGGAUUCAUUGGGCGUAAAGGGUGCGUAGGCGGCGCGGUAAGUCGGGUGUGAAAUCUUGGAGCUUAACUCCGAAACUGCAUUCGAUACUGCCGUGCUUGAGGACUGGAGAGGAGACUGGAAUUUACGGUGUAGCGGUGAAAUGCGUAGAUAUCGUAAGGAAGACCAGUGGCGAAGGCGAAUCUCUGGACAGUUACUGACACUGAGGCACGAAGGCCAGGGGAGCAAACGGG
rnacentral:rRNA from 1 species